CCAUUUCAACGGCUUUCCCUCCCCAUGUGCUACAUACUAAAUCAGUGCUACAGUUUACUUCCGCUUGGAGAAAAUGAAGAUAGCAGAGAAGGAAAGGAAAGUAAAAGUCAUGUAAAAGUGGGUCUGGAGUAAACAACAGAAGAACUGAGCUAUUUCUGAAAGAACAUGACCACCUUAAAAAGUAGGUAUUAUUGAAUGUAUGUGCAUGAUGUGGUUUUCCAUGUUUAUUAAUUCGUUUACUUAUGUAACUGAUAUUUUAUGAUGUUUAUUAUAGUAAGUGCUUUAUCCAUGCUAAUUCAUUCUAUUCUCCUAAUGACUCUUUUCCAUAGAAAAGGAAUUGCAACUGUUCCCACCAUAAUGAGAAAAGAUCCUGUGCUAAUCAGUUAAUUGUUACCUUAACAUGUUUUUUAUUGCCUUAAUGUGUUCUUUUCCUCAGCAGGUCUUGCUCUAAAGCUUUUGUCCAAUACCACAGGUUAUUAGUAAAAAAAUCAUGCUGAUAAUGACUUAUAUUUGAAUGGCCUGUUACCACUUAUAUAUGAAGAAGCCAUAUAAAGAGACAUUAGGUCAUAUAUCAAAUUCUAAAAAGGUUUUAUUUUUCAAGAUUUCAGAAGAAAGUACUUAAAUACUUGGAUGAAGUAGAUAUAGUUUU